rnacentral:rRNA from 1 species
UUUAAUUGGACUCAACGCCGGGCAGCUCACCGGAUAAGACAGCUGGAUGAUAGCCGGGCUGAAGACUCUGCUUGACUAGCUGAGAGGAGGUGCAUGGCCGUCGUCAGUUCGUACUGUGAAGCAUCCUGUUAAGUCGGGCAACGAGCGAGACCCACGCCAACAGUUGCCAGCAUGUCCUCCGGGAUGAUGGGGACACUGUUGGGACCGCUCUGCUAAAGAGGAGGAAGGAAUGGGCAACGGUAGGUCAGCAUGCCCCGAAUUAUCCGGGCUACACGCGGGCUACAAUGGUCAGGACAAUGGGUAUCGACACCGAGAGGUGGAGGCAAUCUCCUAAACCUGUCCUUGGUUCGGAUUGUGGGCUGCAACUCGCCCACAUGAAGCUGGAAUCCGUAGUAAUCGCGUUUCAAAAUAGCGCGGUGAAUAUGUCCCUGCUCCUU